rnacentral:rRNA from 1 species
ACACGACUACAUUAGAUACCCGGGUAGUCCUAGCCGUAAACGAUACUCGCUAGGUGUCGGCCACGGUGCGACCGUUGUCGGUGCCGUAGGGAAGCUGUGAAGCGAGCCACCUGGGAAGUACGGCCGCAAGGCUGAAACUUAAAGGAAUUGGCGGGGGAGCACAACAACGGGUGGAGCUUGCGGUUUAAUUGGAUUCAACGCCGGAAAUCUUACCGGGACCGACAGCAACAUGAAGGCCAAGCUGAAGACUUUGCCGGAUUAGCUG